GCUUGUUUAGAUUGAAUAUCUGUAUUUGUAGAGUAGUGAAGGCGAAUCAAGUCCCACAGCACUUAGGCCACAAGUGACCCAAUGUGCAUCCUCCCAGGGAGUUGUCAUCCUUAGCUCAUUGUUCAUCCUCCCAUUUAUAGAAGGUGAACAAGUUUGUCCAUCCUCCCAUUUAUAGAAGGUGAACAAGUUUGUCCAUCCUCCCAUUUAUAGAAGGUGAACAAGUUUGUCCAUCCUCCCAUUUAUAGAAGGUGAACAAGUUUGUCCAUCCUCCCAUUUAUAGAAGGUGAACAAGUUUGUCCAUCCUCCCAUUUAUAGAAGGUGAACAAGUUUGUCCAUCCUCCCAUUUAGAGAAAGUGAACAAGUCACCAGGUGACAUCUCCCUUAUGUGGGAGGUGUAGGCCAGGGCUCACCAAACACAUACUCUCAUAUUGACGAUAACUCCCGGACACUCACAUGGAAUGCUCGACAGUUUCGUCUACAUGUUCACACUACCUCCACAAUGUGUUGACUAGCCCCAGUGUAUGGAGGUCAAGAAGAGUGGAGAAAACCACUCUUCAACCCUUCACUUACACAAGGGGUUCAACUGCUACAUUUUUUGGGAAUAAAUCAAAAUUAUAUUAUCAGAAAAUUUAUUUUUAUAUUUUAAACUCCAACUGAGAAAUCUUUUUCAGAACAUAAAUUUGUUUAUUUCUGUUUCUCAGCUGUAAGUCAAAAUAUCAAAAAUAAACUAUUUGUGAUUACAAUUGUGGUUUCUUCCCAUAAAAUAUAGUGGAUAAAAUAGGUUGUUACAAGUUACUAAGAUACUUAGCAACAUGCAUCAAACCUUUAAGUUUAGACUGGACUACUAACAGUCCAGUCUUAUGAUGACAGGAGUAAGCAUAGUCCAGUCCUCAUGUAUUUGCCGGACAAACAGUGAGCGGUUAACAGAGGACCUAUCUGUGCUGAACUCCCGUUUAUACUUCCGGUAGUCAUCUGAUGACUAACCGUUAAUAUACCUUUUCACACAAACAUUUCGCCUCCCUUAUAUCCUGUACAAAAUACCACUUUUCAACUGAUCUUUCCAUGAUAACUAACACAGUAAAGACAGAAUGAAAAAUGAUAUAAACAGUGCGACAAAGAUUAGCAAAAUAUUUGCGAGCAUAUACUCACAUUUAAACAUCGUGUGGAUGAAUAUUAAAUGGAUUGAGAAAAUGCCGUAUCUACUGGCUAAUAUUGCUAUUACUUAUGCACUAAAGUGUAAAUACAAUUUUUGACUACUAAGGUAUUCUGUGAUAACUAACACUACAAUACCAAG